UGGGGUAUCGUCCAACGGCAGGACUGCAGACUCUGGAUCUGCCUAUCUAGGUUCGAAUCCUAGUCCCCCAGCCA
rnacentral:tRNA from 1 species